ACUGGGCAUGGUGGCACACGCCUGUAGUCCCAGCUACUUGGGAGGCUGAGGCAGGAGAAAUGCUUGAACCUGGGAGGCAGAGGUUGCAGUGAGCCGAGAUCGUGCCAAUGCACUCCAGCCUGGGUGACAGAGCGAUACUCCAUCUUUUUUUUUUUUUUUUUUUUGAAACAGAGUUUUGCUCUGUUGCCCAGGCUGGAGUGCAAUGGCGCAAUCUCAGCUCACUGCAACUUCCGCCUCCCAGAUUCAAGCGAUUCUCCUGCCUCAG
rnacentral:sRNA from 1 species